rnacentral:lncRNA from 1 species
ACCACCGUUGCGAGGUCAUCAUUGGGCACCACAAUCGCGAGGUCGUCAUCAGCCACCAUAGCAAGCUCGUCAUCCGCCACCACCAUAGCAGGGUCGUCGUCAGCCACCACCAUAGCAAGGUCGUCAUCCGCCAGCACCAUAGCAGGGUCGUCGUCAGCCACCACCAUAGCAAGGUCGUCAUCCGCCAGCACCAUAGCAGGGUCGUCGUCAGCCACCAUCAUAGCAAGGUCGUCGUCAGCCAGAAUAGACUGCUCCUCGUCAUCCCUGCUCUGCUUCUCGUCAUCCCCACU